GCCGGCGUAACUCAGUUGGUAGAGUAGCUGAUUUGUAAUCAGCCUGUCGGGGGUUCGACUCCCUCCGCCGGCUCCA
rnacentral:tRNA from 1 species